AGGACGAACGCUGGCGGCACGCCUAACACAUGCAAGUCGAACGGAGAAUUGAGAGCUUGCUCUUAAUUCUUAGUGGCGGACGGGUGAGUAACACGUGAGCAACCUGCCUCUGAGAGAGGGAUAGCUUCUGGAAACGGAUGGUAAUACCUCAUAACAUAACGAAACCGCAUGAUUUUGUUAUCAAAGAUUUAUCACUCAGAGAUGGGCUCGCGUCUGAUUAGGUAGUUGGUGAGGUAACGGCUCACCAAGCCGACGAUCAGUAGCCGGACUGAGAGGUUGAACGGCCACAUUGGGACUGAGACACGGCCCAGACUCCUACGGGAGGCAGCAGUGAGGGAUAUUGCACAAUGGAGGAAACUCUGAUGCAGCGAUGCCGCGUGGAGGAAGAAGGUUUUCGGAUUGUAAACUCCUGUUUCGAGGGACGAUAAUGACGGUACCUCGGGAGGAAGCUCCGGCUAACUACGUGCCAGCCGCGGC
rnacentral:rRNA from 1 species